UACGUAGGGGGCAAGCGUUGUCCGGAAUCAUUGGGCGUAAAGAGCGUGUAGGCGGCCAGAAAAGUCCGCUGUGAAAACUCGAGGCUCAACUUCGAGCUGUCGGUGGAACUUUCUGGCUAGAGUCCGGAAGAGGAGAAUGGAAUUCCUGUGGAUAGGCGGUGGAAAUGACGCAGAUAUCAGGAAGAACACCCGUGGCGAAGGCGGUUCUCUGGGACGGUACUGACGCUGAGACGCGAAAGCGUGGGGGAGCGAACAGG
rnacentral:rRNA from 1 species